rnacentral:rRNA from 1 species
UACGGAGGAUGCGAGCGUUAUCCGGAAUUAUUGGGCGUAAAGCGUCCGCAGGUGGCUCAUCAAGUCUGCUGUCAAAGGCAGGGGCUUAACCCCUGAAAGGCAGUGGAAACUGGGGAGCUAGAGUGCAGUAGGGGUAGAGGGAAUUCCCGGUGUAGCGGUGAAAUGCGUAGAGAUCGGGAAGAACAUCGGUGGCGAAAGCGCUCUGCUGGACUGCAACUGACACUAAAGGACGAAAGCUAGGGGAGCGAAUGGG